UACGGGGGGGGCAAGCGUUGUUCGGAAUUACUGGGCGUAAAGGGCUCGUGGGCGGCCAACUAAGUCGGACGUGAAAUCCCUCGGCUUAACCGGGGAACUGCGUCCGAUACUGGAUGGCUUGAGUUCGGGAGAGGGAUGCGGAAUUCCAGGUGUAGCGGUGAAAUGCGUAGAUAUCUGGAGGAACACCGGUGGCGAAGGCGGCAUCCUGGACCGACACUGACGCUGAGGAGCGAAAGCCAGGGGAGCAAACGGG
rnacentral:rRNA from 1 species